rnacentral:lncRNA from 1 species
UAUAUAUAAGAGUCCGGCUACAAAACCCUAAAGGACCAUUAUCAUUCUAACCGCAUAUCUCUUCAUCUAAGGGUCGAAAAUCUAAUAGCAUCAAUGAUUUGGUACUGAUAAUAAUAUUUUAGUCUAGCUCUUUCUCUCUCUCUCUCUCUAUAUAUAUAUAUAAUUGAGCUAGAAUACUUUCAGAAGUACCAAGGGGUUGGUGCUUCUAAGUUUCUAGCUUUUGGAUCUACUCCUUCAUUAUUAAUAGUUUUUGGAUCAAACACUAUUUCACCUACCACCAUCAUCUCAGCCCUACAUCUUUCCAUCCAAUGGUUAAAAACUCAAAAACACCACUCCCUUAGUGCUUUUGAGAGCAUUCUAGUUCAACUCUCUCUCUCUCUCUCUCUCUCUAUAUAUAUAUAUAUAUAUA